AUGGAACGAUGCGACUGCAUCGAGCCGCUGUGGCCGACGGACGAGCUGCUCAUCAAGUACCAGUACAUCUCCGACUUCUUCAUAGCGCUCGCCUACUUCUCCAUCCCGUUGGAGCUCAUCUACUUCGUGAAGAAGUCGUCCUUCUUCCCGUACAGAUGGGUCCUGAUCCAGUUUGGUGCCUUCAUAGUCCUCUGUGGAGCGACCCACCUCAUAAACCUGUGGACUUUCACCACACACACGAAGACCGUGGCCAUGGUCAUGACGGUCGCCAAGGUUUCGACGGCCGUCGUUUCCUGCGCGACGGCUUUGAUGCUUGUGCACAUCAUCCCUGACCUGCUGAGUGUCAAAACGAGGGAGCUGUUCCUGAAGAAUAAGGCUGAGGAGCUUGAUUGGGAGAUGGGCUUGAUAAGGACGCAGGAAGAGACCGGGAGGCAUGUUAGGAUGCUAACUCAUGAAAUCAGAAGCACGCUCGACAGACAUACGAUUUUGAAGACUACCAUUGUGGAGCUAGGAAGAACCUUGGGUCUGGAAGAGUGUGCCCUGUGGAUGCCGUCAAGGAGUGGUUCAAGUCUCCAGCUUUCGCAUACUCUGCGCCACCAAAUCACUGUUGGGUCAUCUAUAUCAAUUAAUCUUCCUGUUAUCAACCAGGUUUUCAGUAGCAAUCGAGCAAUUAUAAUACCGCACACAUCCCCUUUGGCACGGAUUCGGCCUCUUGCGGGACGAUAUGUUCCACCAGAAGUGGCUGCAGUGCGAGUACCUCUUCUAAAUCUUUCAAACUUCCAAAUAAAUGACUGGCCAGAGCUUUCAGCAAAAAGCUAUGCUAUUAUGGUUCUGAUGCUUCCAUCUGAUAGUGCAAGGAACUGGCAUGUGCAUGAGUUGGAGCUUGUUGAGGUCGUCGCCGAUCAGGUAGCAGUUGCACUCUCUCAUGCAGCUAUUCUUGAAGAGUCCAUGCGUGCACGCGAUUUACUAAUGGAGCAAAAUGUUGCCCUGGAUUUAGCUCGACGAGAGGCUGAGAUGGCCAUCCGUGCUCGGAAUGAUUUCCUAGCUGUUAUGAAUCAUGAAAUGCGAACACCAAUGAAUGCAAUCAUAGCUCUUUCAUCCUUGCUCUUGGAAACUGAACUCACCCCUGAGCAGCGUUUAAUGGUGGAAACAGUAUUGAAAAGCAGCAAUCUUCUAGCAACACUUAUCAAUGAUGUGUUGGAUCUUUCCAAACUUGAGGAUCGCAGCCUUGAAUUGGAGAUCAGAGCAUUCAAUCUUCAUGCUGUUUUCAAAGAGGUGAUGGGUUUCAUAAGACCAAUUGCAGCUAUCAAGAGGCUGUCUAUGUCGGUUAUGUUAGCGCCAGAUUUACCAUUAUGUGCUAUUGGCGACGAAAAGAGGCUAAUGCAAACUAUCCUAAAUAUCUCCGGUAAUGCUGUUAAGUUCACCAAGGAGGGCCACAUUACGCUUCUAGCUUCCGUUCUCAAGCCUGAUUCUUUAAGAGAGUUCAGAACCCCAGAUUUCGAUCCAGCUGCAAGUGAUGACCAUUUCUAUUUGAAAGUUCAGCUAAAGGAUACAGGCUGUGGCAUUAGCCCUCAGGAUCUACCCCAUGUAUUCACAAAAUUCGCUCAAACUCAGCCUGGAGGUACCCAAGGAUACAGUGGUAGUGGCCUUGGCCUUGCCAUUUGCAGGAGGUUUGUUACUCUGAUGGGAGGGCACAUCUGGCUGGACAGUGAAGGAGCAGGAAGAGGCUGCACGGCCACGUUCAUCAUCAGGCUCGGCGUAUCCGACAACACCGACUCAUAUCAGCAGCAGCUGACCCCUCUCGCGUGGCCAGGCAGCGCAAAUGUCGAAUCUGCCGGUCCGAAGGCGCUUCACGAGGAGACGUGGCCGCCAUCUUCCCUGAAGCCUCGUUACCAGAGAAGUGUAUGA
rnacentral:rRNA from 1 species